GAUGAACGCUCGCGGCAGGCCUAAUACAUGCAAGUCGAACGGGAUCCAGAUCAAAGCUUGCUUUGGUCUGGUGAGAGUGGCGCACGGGUGCGUAACGCGUGAGCAACCUACCCUUGUCAGGGGGAUAGCCCGGCGAAAGUCGGAUUAAUACCGCAUGACAUCAUUGAGAGGCAUCUUUCGAUGAUCAAAGAUUUAUCGGACAAGGAUGGGCUCGCGUGACAUUAGCUCGUUGGUAAGGUAACGGCUUACCAAGGCUGCGAUGUCUAGGGGCUCUGAGAGGAGAAUCCCCCACACUGGUACUGAGACACGGACCAGACUCCUACGGGAGGCAGCAGUAAGGAAUAUUGGUCAAUGGACGGAAGUCUGAACCAGCCAUGCCGCGUGCAGGAGGACGGCCCUAUGGGUUGUAAACUGCUUUUAUACGGGAACAAACGUCGGUACGUGUACCGGUCUGAGUGUACCGUAAGAAUAAGGAUCGGCUAACUCCGUG
rnacentral:rRNA from 1 species